UACAGAGGGGGCAAGCGUUGUUCGGAAUUACUGGGCGUAAAGGGCGCGUAGGCGGCCGCCUAAGUCAGACGUGAAAUCCCUCGGCUCAACCGGGGAACUGCGUCUGAUACUGGGUGGCUUGAAUUCGAGAGAGGGAUGCGGAAUUCCAGGUGUAGCGGUGAAAUCCGUAGAUACCGGGAGGAAUACCAGUAGCGAAGGCGGCCUUCUGGACAGUGACUGACGCUCAGACGCGAAAGCGUGGGGAGCAAACAGG
rnacentral:rRNA from 1 species